GGUAAAUCCUGCCCAGUGAGUCAUUUAACGGCCGCGGUAUCCUGACCGUGCAAAGGUAGCAUAAUCACUUGCCUAUUAAUUGUAGGCUAGAAUGAAAGGACAAACGAGAAUACACCUGUCUCCUUUAAGCCCCUAAAAAUUUAUCUUUAAGUGAAGAAGCUUAAAUAAACGUGCAGGACAAGAAGACCCUAUAGAGCUUUACCUAUAAGCCACAUAAACAGUGGUUAGCGGUUCGGUUGGGGCGACCAGGGGAUACUAUCCACCCCUAAAUUAUAAGAUCAACUAAUCCUAUCAUAGAUCCUUUAUCAAGAUCAAAGAAUCAAGCUACCUUAGGGAUAACAGGCUAAUCCUCUUAGAGAGCCCUUAUCGACAAGAGGGGUUGGCACCUCGAUGUUGGCUUAGGACGUCUCCAUGUCGCAGCAGACAGGCAAGAAUGGUUUGUUCAACCAUUAAAUUCCUACAUGAUCUGAGUUCAAACCGG
rnacentral:rRNA from 1 species